rnacentral:tRNA from 1 species
GGAGAGUGAAGGGUGCCUGGUGGCCCUCGCGGUCUUCAAAACCGUCGCCGCCGCGCAAGCGGCGAGAUAGGUUCGAUUCCUGUCCUCUCCGCCA